rnacentral:lncRNA from 1 species
CGCCUGUCUCACCCUCUCUUGCCCUUCUCGCCCUUUCUCUCUCCCUCAUCCUUCGCCUCCUCCACCGCCUUCGACGGCGACACCUGUCCACCGACAUCGGUGUCGCGGAGGUUGCUGCGACGCCACAGCCUCGGAGCGGGGGAUCUUUAGCGGCGUCGUUGCCGGCGCCGUGACCGUUGGCGGAGAGGCGUGAUAAAAAAAAAUUAUUGAAGGAAGAAGAAAAAAAAUAAAGACAAAAAAUUAUAUAAGAAGGAAGAAAAAGAUCAAAUUACACUGUUAAAAUAAGAUUAUACUGUUUUAAAAUAAAUUUGCACUGUUUUAAUGAAAAUUGCACUAUUUGAUAUAGAAAUUA